rnacentral:rRNA from 1 species
AGGAUGAACGCUGGCGGCGUGCCUAAAACAUGCAAGUCAUACGGUCUACCUUCGGGUAGACAGUGGCAAACGGGUGAGUAACACGUGGGAACACGCCUUCGAGUGGGGAAUAACGCUGAGAAAUCAGUGCUAAUACCGCAUAUGGUCUAACGACUAAAGCAGUAAUGCGCUCGGAGAGUGGCCCGCGUCCGAUUAGCUAGUUGGUGGGGUAAUGGCCUACCAAGGCGGUGAUCGGUAGCUGGUCUGAGAGGAUGGUCAGCCACACUGGGACUGCGAACGGCCCAGACUCCUACGGGAGGCAGCAGUUAGGAAUUUUCGGCAAUGGACGAAAGUCUGACCGAGCGACGCCGCGUGGAGGACGAAGCCGUUUCGGGGUGUAAACUCCUUUUCUGCGGGAAGAUAAUGACGGUACCGCAGGAAUAAGCACCGGCUAACUACGUGCCAGCAGCCGC